CAGUGAAACACCGGUACCCGUACGAUCACAGACGUUAAGCAACGUCGAACCUGGUCAUUACCGAGAUGGGUGACCACGUGAGAAUAUCAAGUGAUGUAA